AUCAAUUUUAAAACAACUCAAAGAAAUUUUAAACAAACAAUAAAAUUCUGAAAGAAAUAUUAGAAUGAUCACAAAUAGUACUCAAAUAUAUAUCAAUUCAACCUUAAUUUAAUUAUAGUUAAAAUCCUAUUGAAUUUCACUCAAACUUUAGACCAAACCUAAUUAAAUCUUCAACCCUAUUAAAUCUUAAACCUUAAGUCAAAUCUUAAACAAACCUUAAAUUAAACCCUAAAUCAAAUCUUAUUUUAAACCCUAAACCCUAAAUCAAACCCUAAAUCAAUCCUAAAUCCUAAUCCAAAUCCUAAAUCAACCCUAAAUCCUAAUCCAAACCCUAAAUCCUAAACCAAACCUUAAAUCAAAUCCUAACCAAAUCCUAAUCCAAACCCUAAAUCAAACCUCAAUCCAAAUCCUAAUCCAAAUCCUAAAUCAAACCCUAAUUAAACCCUAAACCAAAUCCUAAUCCAACCCUAAAUCCUAACCAAAUCCUAAAUCCUAAUCCAAACCCUAAUCCAAUCCUAAACCCUAACCAAACCCUAAUCCAAACCCUAAAUCAAAUCCUAAUCAAACCCUAAUCCAAACCCUAAAUCAAACCCUAAAUCAAACCCUAACCAAAUCCUAAUCCAAAUCCUAAACUCUAAAUCAAACCCUAAAUCAAACCCUAACCAAACCCUAAUCCAAAUCCUAAACUCUAAAUCAAACCCUAAAUCGAACCCUAGCCAAAUCCUAAUCCAAAUCCUAGUAAUUCCUAUGACAGAUUUAAACCUCAAUAUCUAAUGAAAAAACCGUUGAUCUCAAUUCAAAAUUUGCAUACU
rnacentral:lncRNA from 1 species